rnacentral:rRNA from 1 species
CCUACGGGAGGCUGCAGUGGGGAAUAUUGCACAAUGGGCGCAAGCCUGAUGCAGCCAUGCCGCGUGUGUGAAGAAGGCCUUCGGGUUGUAAAGCACUUUCAGCGGGGAGGAAGGCGUUAAGGUUAAUAACCUUGGCGAUUGACGUUACCCGCAGAAGAAGCACCGGCUAACUCCGUGCCAGCAGCCGCGGUAAUACGGAGGGUGCAAGCGUUAAUCGGAAUUACUGGGCGUAAAGCGCACGCAGGCGGUCUGUCAAGUCGGAUGUGAAAUCCCCGGGCUCAACCUGGGAACUCCAUUCGAAACUGGCAGGCUAGAGUCUUGUAGAGGGGGGUAGAAUUCCAGGUGUAGCGGUGAAAUGCGUAGAGAUCUGGAGGAAUACCGGUGGCGAAGGCGGCCCCCUGGACAAAGACUGACGCUCAGGUGCGAAAGCGUGGGGAGCAAACAGGAUUAGAUACCCGUGUAGUC